GAUGAACGCUGGCGGCAUGCCUAACACAUGCAAGUCGGACGGGCAGUGGUGUUUCUUGCGGCGGACGGGUGAGCAACGCGUAAGAACCUGCCCCUGGGAGGGGAACAAUAGCUGGCAACGGCUGCUACUACAACGUAGGCUGAGGAGCAAAAGGAGGAAUCCUCCCGAGGAGGGGCUUGCGUCGGAUUAGCUAGUUGGUGAGGCAAUAGCUUACCGAGGCGAUGAUCAGUAGCUGGGGAGAGAGGAUGAGCAGCCGCACUGGGACUGAGGCACGAGCCGGACUCCUACGGGAAUGGGCGGAAGGGUGAUGGCCGCAAGGGGCGUGAGCCUGACGAGGCAAUGCCGCGUGAAAGUAGAAUACCCGGGGAGCGUAAACGUCUUUGUCCGGAGGAGAGGCAAGAACGUAAUCUGUGGAAUAGGCAUCGGCAAACUCGGG
rnacentral:rRNA from 1 species